GAUGCCAUUUUACUUGUGAGGCAGGUGAAGGGUUUUUGUUUUGUUUUGUUUUUCCCCUUAGGCAGAAUAAAUAACUUGUCUAAACUCCCAGAGCGAAUAACAACAGAAAGAACCAAUAUUUGACAGAAGGUCUGCCGGAUGCGGGGUUCUGAAUUUCAUCCUCAGUGAACCAGACUGGGCACACAGAACCUGCCCGACCGACCUAGGCUCGGAUGAUUGUCCGCCGAUUUCAGGUUUCGCGGGCAGUCCUCUGGCUUCAACUCCCUUUGAUGUCAAGAGGAGGGAUCUGAAUUGGAGCAUUCGAAGCGUCAUAAUUAACGACUGCAGUCGGGGGAGGACCUCAGCGAUCAUUUUACAGGGGAAGAGAACGAAGCCCAGUGAGGUUAAGGGAGUAGUCCGAGGUCACAGAGCUCCAUCCCGGGACAGCUAGCACCGCUGCGAACUCUCCUAGCGCCUGGAUGGCAGGUGCAGCAGGAGCGGCUUCCCAGCAGCCCUCCCGCCGCAUUGUUGGCUCCACUCUCCCGGCUGCCCCCUCCUUCGGGAGCUGGAGCACCCCUUCCUGCCCCCAAGCCCCCAGCACAUAAACCUCCUUCAGUGUGUCUUUCAGUGGAACACACGACUUACCACUGUGGGCUUUUCCAGAACGAAGGUGUGAAAAUCAAAGGGGAUUCCAGGAGCAGCACGCAGGACUUCAGACAGUAUAAGAGGUGCUGCGGGGAGAAAACCAGAGAAAGGUGACAGAGGAGACUAGAAAGAUCCUGAGAAAAUCCAGAAGGCAGAAGAACUGGGGCUGUCCUCAGGCGAGAGAGCACUUCAGACAUCAGCACCUGGAAGGUUAGGAUGAAAACCAGUGAGAACCUUCUGCAGUCAUUCCAGGGCUCUCCUUUCUUCUGCCGUUGCCUCAUCUGUGAGUGGUCACCGUGAGAAAUACCUAAUUGUGGCCUUUGGCCAGGGGACAAGCUGUAGUCUGUGAGGUGACCUGUAAGGGGCCCAUCUCAGGUCAAAUGCUGCAUAGAAUUGAGAUUUCUCCUUACCCUCCGUUACUCUGGAAGAGUUCCUCAGCCUCUCCUUGUUCUUCAUGACCUGGACAUUAUGAAGAGUACUAGCUGUCCUUCAGUUGGGGGUUAUCCAGUGUUUCCUUGUGAUGAGAAUCAGUCCAUUUUUAUGGCAGGCCUGCAAAAGUGAGGUUGUGCUCAAGUGCAAUGGCUUUAAUCACAAUGAUUUUAUAUGGUAUUAAUUCUGUCAGAUCUGCUGUUUCUUGGGUUAAGGAGUGUAACGCUAAGUGACACCAAAUUAGCAGGAAGCAACCCCUGAAGAGAGGACACACACUCAAAAGGGAGGUCCGUGUUGACAGUACACUCACUGCCUGCGCAUUCGCUGUGCAAAGCCGCCUCCUCUCAGUGAGCUCCGAUCCCACUGACCUCUUUAUUUCCGCCUCGACGACACCACUGAGCAGCAUUAAUUUUUCUGCAGAAAGGAUGAAAAAAAAUCUACGUGGACCAUGACUCCCCAUUUUGGUUUGCCCCUAAAUGCAAAUUCAAAACCUCUCGUUGUCAAACAUAAUCAUUACCCUUCCGAAACAUCAUAGCCUUCAAAGAAUUUGAAGAGUUGGAAGAAUUAAAUCAGCUGCCUAGUUUCUACCCCUGAAAUUUUAAAAAAUGAUGAGGUCAGCAUGUCA